AACAUCGCGCACCUGCGGGAACCUGCGGAAGGAUCAUUACAGAGUUGCAAAACUCCCUAAACCAUUGUGAACGUUACCUAAACCGUUGCUUCGGCGGGCGGCCCGGGUCCUUCCCGGCGCCCAUCGGCCCUCGCGGGCGCCCGCCGGAGGUAAACCAAGCUAUUGCAUUGUAUGGCCUCUCUGAGUCUUCUGUACUGAAUAAGUCAAAACUUUCAACAAUGGAUCUCAGAUCGGAAGAGC
rnacentral:misc_RNA from 1 species